GAGGCCUGUGGUGUGGGGUGCGCUUGCGCCCCAGAGUUUUUGCCUAGUUUGAGCUUCAUUGUAUGGUCCUGCUUUGCGUCUCCCAACUUCCCAAGCCGCUAUCACAGGAGCAGAACUAUCACAGUGAAGAAGUGGAUCAGAUACAGACAGAAAUACACAAACUUCAGAAGAACUAACUGCAAUCAUGAAGUGAAAUCACAAGAAACAGCAAGGAACCAGUGAGCACUGUGGCCUCACAUGGGAAAAUUUCAUUUGGAAAGAAAAGAGAACUUGGAUUCUUUUUUUGUUGUUGUUCUUUUUCCACUUAUUAAAGGCAAAUAAUAUUGAAAAUA